GGGCCCGUGGUCUAGCGGCUAGGACGCCCGCCUCACGCGCGGGAGGUCCCGGGUUCAAAUCCCGGCGGGCCCACCA
rnacentral:tRNA from 1 species